CUUGUUUCUCUCUCAGUUGAAACCACUUGCAUACAGGAGUAUGGAUUUUGAAGAAUUCUGCGCCGCAGCUAUCAGCCCUUACCAGCUCGAGGCUCUGGACAAAUGGGAGGAGAUUGCUGGAACAGCUUUUUUCAGCACUUUGAACAGGAGGGCAACCGAGUCAUAUCAGUCGAGGAGUUGGCACAGGAACUAAAUCUUGCUCCGACUCAUUAUUCCAUCGUGCAAGAUUGGAU